rnacentral:rRNA from 1 species
UCCGUAGGUGAACCUGCGGUUGGAUCAUUACAAAAUUGGUUUAUACCAAACAUUGUGUGCACUAUAUCUGUCUCUGGUGGUUCGUGUGCUUGCCUGCAAGCCUGCACCAGUCAAUUUGACUGGAGUUGGAUCACCAACCAUGAGCAUUUGGAGCGCUUUGGCGUUCCCAAGUGUUUAUGAUAAACUUUGUAUUUAUUUUUAUGUCUGAAUCAUUCACCCAGUGAAUUGAAAAACAACUUUUGACAACGGAUCUCUUGGCUCUCGCAACGAUGAAGAACGCAGCGAAUUGCGAUAAGUAAUGUGAAUUGCAGAAUUCAGUGAAUCAUCAAAUCUUUGAACGCACAUUGCGCUUUCUGGUACUCCGGAAAGCAUGCCUGUUUGAGAAUCGAUAAAUCAUCAUACUAAGUUUGUCUUCAAACACAAAUUUAAUAUGGAUAUGAGUUUUUUUCGCAUUGCAAUAACUUUAAACAAAAUGUCUAUGGCCUCCUUCAAAAGGAUGAGCUCGAGUGCAUGAAAAGCGUCAGCUUGAUUUCAUUCAAAGCUUGUUGGUUUUUGGAUUGGAGGAUCCAGGAGGGAUUCCCACCAAUCACUC